CGCGGAAUCGAGUAAUUGGUAACUCAUCAGGCUCAUAAUCUGAAGUAUGUAGGUUCGAGUCCUACUUCCGCAC
rnacentral:tRNA from 1 species